rnacentral:rRNA from 1 species
GAUGAACGCUGGCGGCGUGCUUAACACAUGCAAGUCGAACGAAGCUGCUUAACUGAUCUUCUUCGGAAUUGACGUUUUGUAGACUGAGUGGCGGACGGGUGAGUAACGCGUGGGUAACCUGCCCUGUACAGGGGGAUAACAGCCAGAAAUGACUGCUAAUACCGCAUAAGACCACAGCACCGCAUGGUGCAGGGGUAAAAACUCCGGUGGUACAGGAUGGACCCGCGUCUGAUUAGCUGGUUGGUGAGGUAACGGCUCACCAAGGCGACGAUCAGUAGCCGGCUUGAGAGAGUGAACGGCCACAUUGGGACUGAGACACGGCCCAAACUCCUACGGGAGGCAGCAGUGGGGAAUAUUGCACAAUGGGGGAAACCCUGAUGCAGCGACGCCGCGUGAGUGAAGAAGUAUCUCGGUAUGUAAAGCUCUAUCAGCAGGGAAGAAAAUGACGGUACCUGACUAAGAAGCCCCGGCUAACUA